rnacentral:rRNA from 1 species
UACGAAGGGGGCUAGCGUUGUUCGGAAUCACUGGGCGUAAAGCGCACGUAGGCGGAUGUGUCAGUCAGGGGUGAAAUCCCGGAGCUCAACUCCGGAACUGCCUCUGAUACAGCACGUCUUGAGUUCGAGAGAGGUGGGUGGAAUUCCUAGUGUAGAGGUGAAAUUCGUAGAUAUUAGGAAGAAUACCGGUGGCGAAGGCGGCCCACUGGCUCGAUACUGACGCUGAGGUGCGAAAGCGUGGGGAGCAAACAGG